ACGGCUAUAAAUAUUUACUAAAUAUUUUUUACGCACCAGAUUAAAUCGUUUGGGUCCGAGUAGUACAACCCCUCUCGGACCCUAGACAACCCCUAGUUUUCAUUGGACGAAGACUACAAAGGAUAUCUUGAUCAAAACGAUGCUAGGUAAUCUAGGUAGUUUCAUAACUAGAAUCGUAUCUCUAGAAUGUUCCAUUGACCUAUAACACUAGCUAAUUUAUCUCAAAUUAAUAUUUAUUAUAUAUGUGAGGACUGUGCAAAAGUAGACUUGAUGAGGGUUUGGUAGUAUGCCAAUGUUUUUUUAAUAAAUCUGAUAUGGGAUGAUUGAAAAACUAAUGCAUAAAGUAAGCUGCCUCACAUGAGCUAAUUAAGCUAAAAAGGCUUGUGACGUGAAGCAUGGUUGUUCGAAUUGGACCAGCCCUGACGGUUCAAUCGAGUUGACCGCGAAAUGGGAGCACACCGAGCCGGUUGAAUGCCAAAACCCGGGAAAAUAAAAAAAAUGGGGCCAAUAUGCGGAAACCUGGUUCGACCGGCUAAAACCUCUAACCGAAAAUCGGUUGAAGACCCUGAUUGUUGUUCAUACAACGUUUGGUGGACAAAUCUCCGCGGUCAGUGCCGGCCCUGGGCAAAAUCUAGGGAAGCAACAGCUUUGGGUCCCACUUUUCUAGUAGGCCCCAUAAUUAAUUUUAGGGGUAAUUUUUAUAGACCUCCACUACUAGAUUCUAUAGGUAUUAACCUAAGUCAUAAGUCCAAUUUUGCUAAAACCCCUACAAUUAAUUAUGGCCAAUAUACCCUUAAAUAAAAUAGAAUUUUUUUAAUCUUAAAUCAAUAAAUAGCAAAUUUAUUUUCCCUGAACCCAUCUAGCAAAAAUAGGGUCGCAAUUAUCUUGAUCGUUGAAUCUCUCCUAGAAACGAAAAAAAUCUCUCCCUUUUUAUGCGAAACAAAUACUGUAAUCCUAGAAAAAAUUGUGAAAUUGAUUUUUCUAAUCGUUGUUCUCGUAGAUGUAAAUCUCAAAAAAAAAAAAAAAAAAAAAAAAAAAACCCAGAGAGAAUGAUUAAAGAUGGAAAAAGUACAGGUGAUUUGCUCUUCUAUAUCUGUCCUUUUAUGUUUUUAAUGGCGAUUUAUUCACGAAUUGUCAUGAAAAUUUUGAUCAAUGGAUCGAAAGAUGUUGAUAUUGAUUAUUCGACCCCAGUUACCAUAUCUGUUUUUAUGUGAAAAUCAAUGGUUUCUUGCUUUUGAUUUUGCUGUUUUUUGUUACAUAAUUUUUUGAUGUCGAUUGCAACAUGUUAUCGGUUUUUACCCAUCAUAACAGCAAAGUGCAAAAUAAACAAGAACAUGUUAUUGGUUUCUUGCUUUUGAUUUUGCUGUUUUUUUCUUUUGUAUUUAGCCAUUUCAUAAUGUAUUGCAUAUUGCGAGUAAUUGUACUUUUUGCAUCUCGUUGUUGCAACUUCGAACAUUGUAUUUCUCUAUAGAGAUUCUAUGUUGCGUUUUGAUAUUGUAAUAUGCAUUGAUGCAAAUUUGUGCAAAUUUUAAUUGGAAGCUUUUUUGGUUGAAUUCGUAUUUUACUGUCGCUGCAGCUAUAAGCCAGAAGAAAACAAACAAGAGAUUCAUUAGAGGUUGAUGCUACUGACACGAUCAUGUUUCUAGAAGAUCCCCAAUGACGUUUGGAAGUUGUGAAUUCAGUCGGACGUCGAGACUAUGUCCGUUAUGACAUCACCCAUCCAUAAUCAAUUAUGAUAGAUUGUAGUUUGUUUAUUGACUAUAUUGCAACACUGCUUGUAUCUAUUUAUUUGUAUUUUACAAUAUUUUGUAUUUAAUGUACUGAUUUAUUCCUAAAUAAAAAUUGUUUGGUGGUUUGUUAUAUCAUCUUUUAUUUCAUAUUUAUAUUUUAAAGAUAUUUUAUAUUGUUCGAGGAAGAAUAAACUUGAACAUCUGAUGUUUGAGCAAAUUAUCAUUAGUUUCAUAUCGUGUUGUUGUGAAAAUACAUUUGUAAAAUAUUAUUUUUGACAUAUGGUAGGUGAUUCCGUAUUAUAUUUAUUUUGCUAUUUAUUUUUGCUGUUAUAAAUUGCAGUUUGUAUGUUGCUAAUUGUAUUUUGCAAUUUGUUGUUGUAACUUGACACAACUU